rnacentral:misc_RNA from 1 species
CUCCAUAAGUUUACGCCAAAAAUAGCGUGAACUCAUGUGUUUUGCCCAUAAUCACCACGCUGGGCAGGCGGGUUGGUGAUCGCAGUGCUGGCUUUGUCGCACCGAAGACGCUGCUGCCCGUCUUCGGCCUGUGUAUUUCGAAGCUAUUGUGUAUCUCAAAUUAGACAAAGUUAUUGGUUUCCAUCGCUAAAGUUGGCGAUGUCGGAGACAUUGUCUACGUUAGCUUUAGUGACACCUAAUCAAAUACACAUAUCUUCAUCGAAUUUUUAUCAUUGUAGCCGGAACUAGUUCAAUAUGGAACUAUUGUAAAAGGAAAAGUAAUUUUUCUAUGGAAAUUAUCUUCGAUGUUUCGUGGCGAUUUUAAGCUGAAAAUCUCCACAGCCGUCGAUUACUUCAUCGGAAUUUUGUCGUUGUAACUGGUAAGUUUGGUUUAGUUUUACGUGUUUACAUUUGUCUUGACUUCUUUGUUUUCUUUUACCAUUUCGGUGGCCUAAACCAAAGAAGUGUCUAAUUAUGAAAAAAUAAAGGUAUUAAUAUAAUUUUUAAAGUCUAGUUAACCGAGAAUUCAGAAAAAAAUAUGAAACAAAAGUUAUAGGCUCAGCUUGCAGCUACUUCAAAGUCCGCGACAUAAAAAA